GGCUCCGCGAGAUCCAUGUGACGGAGAUGCAUUAGGGCUUCAUGUCCGUUCUACCACCUCUUCGAUUCUGGAGGCGUUGCCCAUGAUCUCGCCGCAGACCAUCAAGGGCACGCACGACAGCGCAAUUUGCAUUCCAGUGCGGAGGCUGUGUGGCUAGGAAUGGCGUGUACCCCAAGGAAAUCCACCAGGGCUGCAAGGAGUUCGAUGAGUAUGGAAUUCGUUGUGGUAUUUAACGCGAGAGGUCCUUAAUUGUUGCAACCAACUCUACAUUGAAGAUGGGUUCGAAUGCUAUUCUUACUUUUGGGGGAAAUUCAGAAAUCCAGUUGUGUAUGAAAACACAACCCUUUGCUGCUUCACAAUUCUGUUAGUCUGUCUCUUUGAUUUGUACCUUUUUUCAUCACUCUAUAAAUAGAACACAGUCAACUUUUCAUCUGCAUAAUUGUGGUAGCCUGUGCUAUAGUUGAUUUUGGGAUCUUUCUUUUAAUCUCAAAUGAACUCAUGUUUUAUUUUGUUAACAAAGUUUAAAAUUUUUGUGCCACUGCAUGAAAUUAAACAUAGUAUUGGAGCUGAAGGAGUUUUGAGUGUAGAAUGUAAGGAAAUUGUUGCUAAAUAUGGAGAGCUGAUUUGGGAUCUCUUGAGUGUAGAGUGUAAGGAAAUUGUUCCUUAAUGUGAGGGCAUUGAUCAUGAACAAUUAGUAUCUCAAUUAAGUGGUCUUUUGUGUGUCAGCUUGGUUUCUUCCCACAUCUAUGUUCUCUGUCUCUAUAUCUCUAAAAUAUUGUUACUUUUAUUUUUUAGAUGUACAGGUUGGAUACUGAAUGACAUCGAUGAGAAGUUUUUCUUUUUCAUUUCUCUCAUUGUUUAGUGCUAAUAGUUUUUUCUUUUUCAUUUCUCUCAUUGUUGAAUUCUUAUAGUUUUUAUUUUUCAUUCAUCUUCUGCCAGUCCAUGACAAGGUUCAUGUCUGGAUCGCUCUCCAUUGUGAUGAAAAGGUUGUUUUCCCAUUUUCUUCUUUAUUUUUUAUUGAUCCAUCUUCUUACUUUUUGUUCAAUUUUCUCUUUCAUAGUUUGACUCAUUCAUCAUAUUUAACAUGUGUUGAUCAUAUAUUAAGUGCUUAGGUUCUAAAAGGAAACAAAAUUGGAAACAUAAUUGUUGCAGAUGGGAAUGAGAAUGCCCCUGCAGUUAUCUUCACUGAUAAGGUUGAAUUCUUUUUAUUUUGUUCAAUCUUAUUGAAGUAUUGAACUAAUGAUGCUUUGUAAUGAGUAUGGUGAUACUCUUCUUACUAUGGAAACUACAGCCAUAAUAUCAAUGCUGACUUAGACUAUGUAUGUGAAACAAAAGCAAACUCCUAUUUGUUUGGGUAUAAAUGUUUCUGAUCAGUAUCCGUUUUUUCAAAUUUGUAUAUAGAUUGGUUUUUUAAUUUAUUUGUGUUUAAAUGAUUGGUGGCACCCGUACAAAAUUCUACUACAUUCUGUGAGUAUGUACAAAAUUCUUCUACUGUUCUUCUGUAUGUUGAACAAGCAUUUUGAGAAUCUUCAUUUCGAUAAGCCAUUUUGCUGCUGUUUUUUUUAAUUUGCUUUUAUCGUUCUCUAGCAAGGUAGUUUAGUUGGUUUUUUAAUUCCUUCUCUAUGCAUGUUGUUAUUUCUACUAAAUCCGAUUGAAGAUAACAUUUUUAUGCCUAUUUUGUGAAUUGUGUCAUUUUGAUUUUUUCGUUUAGCCAUUUUCAACUGUAAUUUUGUUUCUUUUUUGCUGCUAUUGUAACAUUUUAGUUCAUAUCUCAAGGCUAUGCUUCUGUAUUUUGAUAUCACAGCUCGCAGGUACUUCUCAUUAAGCGAGGAAAUGAAUGUGGGGCCUUUAGGCUGAGAUUGUUCUCAUCUGAUAAAUUACUUGGAGGUCAGCAACACUAUCUCUAAUUACUUAAUAAGUACUACUAAAUAAAAGAGGCAUUAUUAUUGAAAUGUUAGGUAUUUUGGCAUCUUAGAGUUUAUUAGAAAAAGUUUGUUAUGACCUACACCAGUAUGAGUACACUUUUUGAAGGCUACAAAACAAAGAUUCAAAGUUGGCCUCAGGAAUAUAAAGGGUUUUGAAAGGAAAGGAGGCCAGUAUCGUUGUCUUUCUCCAUUGAUUAAAGGUAUUUGCCAGGCUUAUGAGAAGUACAAGCACAAUGAAAACAACCGCAAAAUUGUUACUCCUGAUCUGAAGGGAGUCAUCUUUCAUCAUUUUAUAAAUAAGAUAAAGAAGGUCACGGAAGGUCAAGGAUGAGAAGUGGGCAAAAGAAAUCAAGAGAUUUUGUGAAGAGAAGAGGUCAAGAGAUUUUGUGAUCGUAGGGGUGAUAAAGUUCCGAAAAAGCAUUCUUCUAUGGCAUAUUGCAACAUAUCUAUGUUAUAACUCUAUCUCAUGUGUAGAGGAAAUAGAUUGUGGAAGAGGUUUUAAGUUUUAGAGAAAGAAGCAAAUUGUUAUCAGAGGACAUGUUGUAUCUUAUUGUUAUGAGAACAUCCAUGUUGCCUAAUGGAAUUGGUGGGUAUGUGUCUCCAUUGAUUGGAUAGAUAUUCCAUACGUAGCGAGAAGGAAGUCUGCAUAAAGCUCUCAGACUCUGCAGAGAGAUUGAGCAAGUCUGUGCUAUUUGAUGAAAGCUGGGAGGAAAACUUGAUGUGGGACUUAAUAAUUCACAUUCUUUGUGCUUAAUUUUAUUCAUCUUCUUAUCAGUGCA